CGAAGGGGGCAAGCGUUGUUCGGAAUUACUGGGCGUAAAGGGCGCGUAGGCGGCUUAUCAAGUCAGGCGUGAAAUUCCCGGGCUCAACCUGGGGGCUGCGCUUGAUACUGAUGAGCUUGAAUGCGGGAGAGGAUAGUGGAAUUCCCAGUGUAGAGGUGAAAUUCGUAGAUAUUGGGAAGAACACCAGUGGCGAAGGCGGCUAUCUGGCCCGUAAUUGACGCUGAGGCGCGAAAGCGUGGGGAGCAAACAGGAUUAGAUACCCUGGUAGUCCACGCCGUAGACGAUGAAUGCUAGACGUUGGCGAGCAUGCUCGUCAGUGUCGGAGCUAACGCAUUAAGCAUUCCGCCUGGGGAGUACGGUCGCAAGAUUA
rnacentral:rRNA from 1 species